GGAUGGAUCAUUCCUGUUAACAAACAAACCAACCUCCAAGCUAUUUCUGCUAACAACCUUAACACUUAAAAAUUCAAUGAAACUAAAACUCUUAGCGAUGGAUGACUCGACUCUCGUAACGAGGAAGGACGCAGCAAACCGCGAUAAGCAGUAUGACUUGCGAAUUUAAGCAUAUAAUUAAGCGGAGGAAAAGAAACCAACAGGGAUUCCCUUAGUAGCGGCGAGCGAAAAGGGAUGAGCCCAAGGUGUGAAUCCGAGUUGCUUGCAGCUCGGAGCUGUACAUCAGGUCCUUGGCCACAACGGAUUGCUCGCUAAGACGCCUGGAAAGGCGUGCCACAGAAGGUGAUAGCCCUGUCUUUGCGAUGCCAAUCAGUUGGUAGGUCUUGGUCUAAUGAGUCACGCUCUUUGGGAGUAGAGCGCAAAUAGGGUAGUAACCUCCAUCCACGGCUAAAUAUUGACGAGAGAUCGAUAGCAAACAAGUACCGUGAGGGAAAGUUGAAAAGCACUUCGAAAGGAGAGUUAAAAUACCUGAAAUCGCCAAGGGGGAAGCGACUAUCCGUGACCCAAGUGAAGUCGGCUCUCAAGGUUUCGAUCUUGGAUGGCUGAUCAACAACUCGACAUCACUUCCCAAUUGUUCGAUGCUUCUCUGAAGUUUACUUCUAGGAAGUUGUUCGUUCAGUGUAGGAGUGACGCAAACCGGCUUGCCGUAAGUUGUCGAGAGCGGCACGUAUAGACGACCCGUCUUGAAACACGGACCAAGGAGUUAAACAAGUGUGCAAGUGUAAGAGUGUUAAACUCAUACGCGCAGUGAAAGCAAAAGCUGUGAAUAUCCAUGCAACAGCGGCCGACUCUUGAAGUUCGAGCUUGAGCAUAUUUGUUUAGACCCGAAAGAUGGUGACCUAUACCUGAGUUGAGUGAAGCCAGGGGAAACCCUGGUGGAAGCUCGUAGCGAUACUGACGUGCAAAUCGUUCGUCAAACUUGGGCAUAGGGGCGAAAGACUAAUCGAACCAUCUAGUAGCUGGUUCCCUC
rnacentral:misc_RNA from 1 species